rnacentral:pre_miRNA from 1 species
AUUCUACUCCCUCCAUUGCACAAUACAUGCCUUCUAUUUGUCAAAAUAUAUAUGUAUCUAGACAUGUUUUAGUAUAUAGGCACAUCCAUUUUUGGACAAAUGGAAGUCAAGUAUUUUGGAAUGGAGGGAGUACACA